rnacentral:lncRNA from 1 species
CAUCAGUCUGUGUUUAUAACAGGGUCUACAUUUCAUCAGUCUGUUAUAACAGGGUCUACAUUUCAUCAGUCUGUGUUUAUAACAGGUCUACAUUUCAUCAGUCUGUGUUUAUAACAGGGUCUACAUUUCAUCAGUCUGUGUUUAUAACAGGUCUACAUUUCAUCAGUCUGUUAUAACAGGUCUACAUUUCAUCAGUCUGUUAUAACAGGGUCUACAUUUCAUCAGUCUGUGUUUAUAACAGGGUCUACAUUUCAUCAGUCUGUGUUUAUAACAGGGUCUACAUUUCAUCAGUCUGUGUUUAUAACAGGGUCUACAUAUCAUCAGUCUGUGUUUAUAACAGGGUCUACAUAUCAUCAGUCUGUGUUUAUAACAGGGUCUACAUUUCAUCAGUCUGUGUUUAUAACAGGGUCUACAUUUCAUCAGUCUGUGUUUAUAACAGGUCUACAUUUCAUCAGUCUGUGUUUAUAACAGGUCUACAUUUCAUCAGUCUUUUGUUGCAGGACAUCUUCACCAUGGGUUCAAUCUGAAAUGAGUUAUUUCACAGAGUUACUCUUUAGGAGGUCCGUUACAUAUGAUAUGUCAGAUUUCUGAAAAAGUCAAUUUACUUUAAAUAAUCAGAACAUUAUAUCUGUAUCAACCACCUUUUAACUUGGCGCUAGAACGUUCUGUCCGUAUCAACCACCUUUUAACUUGGCGCUAGAACGUUCUGUCUGUAUCAACCACCUUUUAACUUGGUGCUACUUUCUGUUGAGAAGCAAUUGCUUGCUAUGAUUAAGGUUGGGUUAGGGAUCGCUGAAACGGCAUCGUGGACUAACGGCUCUCUCCAAUCUGGAUCGCUGAAACAGCAUCACGGCUCUCUCCAAUCUCGAUCGCUGAAGCAAUAUAAUUUUUUUUGAGACAACAUGUGAAUGCAGUUUCUAUCAGGCUGUAAUGCUGAAUUUCAGCAAUACAGAUUGGAUAGAACCAGUAAUGUUCAAAGUCUGUUGCUGUACCAUUACAAUAAUGGUCAAAUUAAGAUCCUAUAACCUGGUGGAGUUAUUUUAUGGUCUUAUCCACAUUGAGGCAGAAUGAUAUUAAAACACAUUUAGGAGGCAGGAAGAGAGCCCGUAUGAUAUUAAAACACAUUUAGGAGGCAGAAAGAGAGCCCAUAUGAUAUUAAAACACAUUGAGGAGGCAGGAAGAGAGCCCGUAUGAUAUUAAAACACAUUUAGGAGGCAGAAAGAGAGCCCGUAUGAUAUUGGAAUGAUACAUUCAUCUCUAUGGCCUGAUUCAUUUCACUACUACUAGCAGCAUUUAGCGUUACUGUGUCUUUACAACCCCCCUCUGCCACCUGUUGGUUCAGAUUCAAAAUGGCACCCUAUUCUCUACCAGAGAGCUGGUCCAAAGUAGUGUACUAGAUAGGGAAUAGGGUGUCAUAGAGCCCUGGUUCAAAGUAGUGUACUAGAUAGGGAAUAGGGUGCCAUAGAGCCUUGAUCCAAAGUAGUGUACUAAAUAGGGAAUAGGGUGCCGUUUGGUGUUGAACCCUAGAAGCCAGUGUAAUUGACUGACAGGUCACUACAGUAAAGAGUUACACAUCAUGGUUUGUCGUUGUUGUGGCAAAUUAUUUACACUUUGACUUCUGUGGUCGAAGUUGAUAGAUUUGACUGAUGAAAUGGACCAAAAUUGGAUCAUGUCCUCUACAGACCCAGGGGACAGCCCGGCGGUGUUCAGUAGGGAAACUCUACAGCCCGGCGGUGUUCAGGUGGGAACACCAUAGCGUGUUUGAAACCAGGUACUACCUUGAAGUUGUUAAACACUAAAUUAACGUUUCUUAUUGUACAAGAUGGGGCUGCAUCUCCCCUGUUUCAUAAUGUUUUAUCCAUAAUGAACAGCACCCAGGCUACCCCCUCAACACGCUACAGGUCAAACUAGGAGAUUAAAAGAACACACAUUAUGAUUCUGAAGACUAGAAAGCAUCGUCUCUGUUGAUGUGUUUGUAAAUGAAGUAUCAUUCCCUCGUGGCAUAACACCAGUAGGAUGUGGAAACGGGGUGUGAUGGACAUGAUAAGAUGUUACUGAAGGCUCUUUCUACCCUGGAUUCUAUUACAUUCUAUAUAGCAUUCUAUUACAUUCUAUAUAGCACUCUAUUGGAUUCUAUUACAUUCUAUAUAGCAUUCUAUUAGAUUCUUUAUUGGAUUCUAUAUAGCAUUCUAUUAGAUUCUAUAUAGCAUUCUAUUAGAUUCUUUAUUGGAUUCUAUAUAGCAUUCUAUUAGAUUCUAUAUAGCAUUCUAUUAGAUUCUAUAUAGCAUUCUAUUAGAUUCUUUAAUGGAUUCUAUAUAGCAUUCUAUUAGAUUCUAUAUAGCAUUCUAUUAGAUUCUUUAUUGGAUUCUAUAUAGCAUUCUAUUAGAUUCUUUAUAGCAUUCUAUUAGAUUUAAUAUUGGAUUCUAUAUAGCAUUCUAUUAGAUUCUAUAUAGCAUUCUAUUAGAUUCUAUAUAGCAUUCUAUUAGAUUCUAUAUAGCAUUCUAUUAGAUUCUAUAUAGCAUUCUAUUAGAUUCUUUAUUGGAUUCUAUAUAGCAUUCUAUUAGAUUCUAUAUAGCAUUCUAUUGGAUUGUAUAUAGCAUUCUAUUAGAUUCUAUAGGAUUCUAUAUAGCAUUAUAUUGGAUUCUAUAGAGCAUUCUAUUAGAUUCUACAUAGCAUUAUAUUGGAUUCUAUAGAGCAUUCUAUUAGAUUAUAUAUAGCAUUAUAUUAGAUUCUAUAUAGCAUUAUAUUGGAUUCUAUAUAGCAUUAUAUUAGAUUCUAUAGAGCAUUAUAUUAGAUUCUAUAGAGCAUUAUAUUAGAUUCUAUAGAGCAUUAUAUUAGAUUCUAUAGAGCAUUAUAUUGGAUUCUAUAGAGCAUUAUAUUAGAUUCUAUAGAGCAUUCUAUUGGAUUCUAUAGAGCAUUCUAUUAGAUUCUAUAUAGCAUUCUAUAUAGCAUUCUAUUGGAUUCUAUAUAGCAUUCUAUUGGAUUCUAUAGCAUUCUAUUGGAUUCUAUAUAGCAUUCUAUUGGAUUCUAUAUAGCAUUCUAUUGGAUUCUAUACCAUUCUAUUCUACCCCAACAGCAGCUUCUGUUUGUCUUUGUUGUUUCCAUAGAGACAGAGCCCUCCCAGCCUGGGCUCAUCAUAGGAGUUUGGUCUUAUUAAAUGUAUUUUAUAUUAAAGUGACUUCUUGUCCCCUGUGAUCAUUGGUCCUGGUAACUGUAUAGGUCAAUGUCUGCGUCCCCCAUUCUCCACCCUUAAUCCCCAAGUGUACACUUUGUCUUGCACACUUUCUCGCGUGGAUUUAACAACAAAAAAAUGUUGGAAAUUCCCAGCCUCCAGCCAAUGCAUACACCAAUCUUAUGUGAAGUGCACACUUGUGGGGGAAAAAAAGGGUGUAGACUCGGGACACAGCCUAGGAAUGAAAGUGCUAGUUGACGUGAAGGAGACUGUGGGGUUUCUGGGGAUCUGGUGCCACCUGCUGGUGAACCACAGCUCAGUGUCUGUAUUCAUAAAGCGUCUCAGGGUAGGAGUGCUGAUCCAGGAUCAGUUUGGCCUUUUUCCAAUCAUGAUGAAUAAGGUCAGGAAGGCACCUGAUCCUAGAUCAGAACAGAGAGACAUUUACAAAAAAACAGGUGUAGAUCUACUACUACUACAAAGGGUCUGGUAACUCCACAGUCCUGGAGAGAGAUGGUGUCUGGUAACUCCACAGUCCUGGAGAGAGAUGGUGUCUGGUAACUCCACAGUCCUGGAGAGAG